AACAAAGAAGACAGAAAAUCCUACCAGAAUUGACUGAAAAGUUGAGUGAGGGGCAGGAAAGAAAAAGAGGUGGCAAAGGUAGCAACAACUAUGUUCUGCUCCAGAAAGCAUAAGCCACAGCCCCCACCACAGUGCUUGGCAAUGCGGUUGCUGUUUAAUACCUGCUGACUGAGUGGAAGGAAGACAAGACAAUUACCUGACUCAAAGAGAAGCAAAAGAAUGCUGCCUUCAAGCUGAGGGGAAGACUGAACUGUCCGUUUCUUUCUGCUCUAAAGUGUCCUCUGGAGAGGACGCUGGCGGAGCUGGUGCUCUCGUGGUGGCAGGCCACCACCCUGUGGAGGUGUCCAUGCAUUGCAAGUGCUCGCAAGCUCCAGGAACAAACGCAUCCGCGCAGCCGUCUGGGGUUUGUCCCGUCGCUGCCAGCCGUCUCGCUGAGUCCCCGCCCUCGCCGAUAAGAGCCCACUUAGGACCCCCAUUACAUGGAUGACUUCCCAGGACCUGCCCUUAAAGACUCUGAUUUAGUAGGUUGGAAAUGACGCAAUUAUUUUUAUUUUUAAUUAGUACCCCAAGUCAUUCUUUACCAUCAAGGAA
rnacentral:lncRNA from 1 species